rnacentral:rRNA from 1 species
AUUGAACGCUGGCGGCAGGCCUAACACAUGCAAGUCGAACGGUAACAGGAAGCAGCUUGCUGCUUCGCUGACGAGUGGCGGACGGGUGAGUAAUGUCUGGGAAACUGCCUGAUGGAGGGGGAUAACUACUGGAAACGGUAGCUAAUACCGCAUAACGUCGCAAGACCAAAGAGGGGGACCUUCGGGCCUCUUGCCAUCGGAUGUGCCCAGAUGGGAUUAGCUAGUAGGUGGGGUAACGGCUCACCUAGGCGACGGUCCCUAGCUGGUCUGAGAGGAUGACCAGCCACACUGGAACUGAGACACGGUCCAGACUCCUACGGGAGGCAGCAGUGGGGAAUAUUGCACAAGAGGCGCAAGCCUGAUGCAGCCAUGCGGCGUGUAUGAAGAAGGCCUUCGGGUUGUAAAGUACUUUCAGCGGGGAGGAAGGGAGUAAAGUUAAUACCUUUGCUCAUUGACGUUACCCGCAGAAGAAGCACCGGCUAACUCCGU